UGAGAAACCCAUGCGCGGCAACCAAGACCCAACACAGCCAAAAAUAAAUACAUUUUAAAAAAAAUUCACAGAUGCGGCAAUGAAAUGCAUCAUGGGAUCCCGGGCGAGAAAAAGACAACUGGGAAAACAAACACGAAGAGAGCAUCCCUGGACCGGCAGGUCAGCAUCCCCCAGGCGAACGAGGAAUGCCCACCCAGUCCGGCUCCUGCAUCCUCGUGGUGCUGGAUGUUUCCUCCAAACUGUGGGGAGACAGCCAGGACCACCGUGCGGUGGAAAGAGCGAAAUGCAGGUGUGUACACAUUGCUACCUUGUGUGCAAAAACGGGGAGAUGGGAAUAUGUCAUGUUUGUGUUUGAAUAAGAAAAAGUGUGGCCCAAGACGAGCCGAACGAGUUAUCGGUACCACCAGGCUCGGAGGAAGGGGCAACACUUUGCUACAGUCCUUUUAAAGACUUUUGAAAAUUGCACAGGUGUUACCAGUUUAAUACUUAAAGAAAAAACACUUAUCAAAAAGAAAAGAAAUAACAGUAUUGGCCAGGAUGUGGAGAAAAGAGAAACUCUCAGGCGCCGUUGGUGGGAAUGUAAAUUGGUGCAGCCACUGUGGAAAAGAGGAUGGAGGUUCCUCAAAAAAUUAAAAGUUGAGCUGGCAUGUGAUCCGGCAAUUUCACUUCUGGGUAUUUAUCCAAAGAAUGAAAACACUACUUUGAAAAGAUACAUGCACACCAAUGUUCAUAGCAGCACCAUUUACAAUUGGCAGGAUAUGGAAACCACCCAGGUGGCCACCGGAGGGUGUAUGGAUAAAGAUGUGGUACGUGUAUACAACAGAACGUUACUCAGCAAUAAAAAGAAUGGUCUUUUGCCAUUUCAGACAACGUGGAUGGACCCUGAGGGUAUUAUGCUGUGAACAGUCCUGACAGCACCUGCAUGGGCGAAGACGUCCCCCUGGGCCGCUGCUCCACACGCGGGAAUGAGAGCCUUCCCCAGCACCUGGCCAGGUGCUGCCUAGGUGGGAACACUGCCAAGCACAGGAGUAAGUGGACCUGCAAGUUAACGGUGAGGUCCGUGUUUGCUACAAACCUAGAGCACGACAAAGUGGGGCGAAACUUAACUUCUGGGCAGCGCUGUCCGAGGCGGAGUGACUGGGAUGGUGGCAAAAACCUGGCUCUGCCCCCGCCCCCAACUCUGCACAGGCUUCCAGGCAGGAAGGCAGGGCAUGUUGGCAGGAGUGAAGGAACAGGUAGGCGCCACCAGAAAGCUUCUGGAUGUGCUGGGGAUGGGUCGUUUAAACGUAUUUUGCAAU